rnacentral:rRNA from 1 species
GAUUUCUGGUGCGGAGCAUUUGGCCGGCCACGGUUUCGUGUGUUAGUGCUUUGUGCUCGCUCCAUCCUUCCAAUCGCUCGCGUCGAUUCUUCAUUGAAUCGGCGCGGGUAUUGGAUCGUUUACUUUGAAAAAAUUAGAGUGUUUCAAGCAGGCUGAAUGCUAUGAAUACAUUAGCAUGGAAUAAUAAUUUAGGACUUCGGUUCUAUUUUGUUGGUUUCUAGGACUGAAGUAAUGAUUGAUAGGGAUAGUUGGGGGUGCUAGUAUUCCGCGGCCAGAGGUGAAAUUCUUGGAUUCGUGGAAGACUAACUACUGCGAAAGCAUU